GACGUAGGGCGCGAGCGUUGUCCGGAUUUAUUGGGCGUAAAGAGCUCGUAGGCGGCUUGUCGCGUCGACUGUGAAAUCCCGCGGCUCAACUGCGGGUCUGCAGUCGAUACGGGCAGGCUAGAGUUCGGUAGGGGAGAUUGGAAUUCCUGGUGUAGCGGUGGAAUGCGCAGAUAUCAGGAGGAACACCAAUGGCGAAGGCAGAUCUCUGGGCCGUAACUGACGCUGAGGAGCGAAAGCAUGGGUAGCGAACAGG
rnacentral:rRNA from 1 species